rnacentral:rRNA from 1 species
CAGGUGCAUGCCUCUAGCAU